rnacentral:rRNA from 1 species
GGCUCAGAGUGAACGCUGGCGGCGUGGAUUAGGCAUGCAAGUCGAGCGAUCCUUGUUACUGAUAAAGAUUGAAGCUUCGGUGGAUAUCUUUUGAUGUAACGCUGGAUAGCGGCAAACCGGUGAGUAACGCGUGGGUAACCUACCUUGAGGAAGGGCACAGCUUCGCGAAAGCGGAGGUAAUUCCCUAUACUGUCCUUGACAUGAGUGUCGAGGAUCAAAGACGGCCUCUACUUGUAAGCUGUCACCUUAAGAGGGGCCCGCGUCCUAUCAGGUUGUUGGUGGGGUAAUAGCCUACCAAGCCAUAGACGGGUAGCUGGCGUAAGAGCGUGACCAGCCACAUCGGGACUGAGACACUGCCCGGACUCCUACGGGAGGCUGCAGUCGAGAAUCUUUCCCAAUGGACGAAAGUCUGAGGAUGCGACGCCGCGUGGGGGAUGAAGGUUUUCGGAUUGUAAACCCCUUUUAUUGAGGAGGAAGGCUCUGGAGCGAAUAGUGUCCAGAGAUUGUCUGUACUCAAUGAAUAAGCCACGGCUAACUCCGUGCCAGCAGCCGCGGUAAUACGGAGGUGGCGAGCGUUACUCGGUAUGACUGGGUGUAAAGGGUCCGUAGGCGGCCAUAUAAGUGAAAGGUGAAAUCUUUCGGCUCAACCGAAAAACUGCCUUUCAAACUAUUUGGCUUGAGGAUGAAAGAGGAGAGUGGAACUGUCGGUGUAAAGGUGAAAUUUGUGGAUAUCGACAGGAACGCCUGUGGGGAAGCCGACUCUCUGGUUCAUUCCUGACGC